AAGAACAAAGUAAGAAAAAGGAAGAACAAGAACCCUAGGGUGAAAAUUCAAGAGAAAAUUGGUGGAUUUCAAGUAAUCAAGCAAUCAAAGGUAAAAUUUCUUGAUUUUGACUUGUGAUCUACCUUUCCCAUGCAUUAUUUUGCAUUUUCCAUGGUUGAAUCACAAGAUAUCAUAAAGGAUAGUGUGCUGAUCAAACCCUAGGAGAGAGGUUUUGAUGCUUGAUUUGGUUAGAUUUCAAUGUAUUUUAGUGUUUUUAGUUGAUUGGUGAUGUGUAGCAUGAAAAUCAAGCAAGAAAAAUUCAUGUUCUCCCAUCACCCAUCAUUGGCCGAAUUCUCCAUGUAGAAUAUUGAUGAUGAUUUUGAUUUUAUUUCAAGUGAUUUGAUUAGGAAUUAGUGAUUUGUGGUGUGAGAAUCAAGUAGGAAAAAUUAUAGUGUUGAUGCACCCACCAUGGAUGAAUUUUCCAAGAGAAAAUGUGAGGAUGAUUUUGCCAUAUUUUAAGUUAUUUAAUUUGUGUUUGAUGAUUUGGAGAAUUAAGAGAAAAAUAAAAUUAUUUGGAGUUGAAUUGGACGUACAUAACUUUUUAACAACCUUGGCUGACUCGGUUGGGUUAGCCCUCAAUCAAGGUAUCCCUGAUAACUGGGUAUGAGAAUGAUUUUGGCACGAGCCAAAGUUUUAAGAAAUUCAUAAGCCAUGUUGAUUACUCUAUUUAUAUGAAUUGAUUUUAUUUGGUUGAAACAAGUUGAAAGGUGAUGAAUUAUAGUAUGUUAAAUUAUUUUAUCUGUCUUCAUUUACUCGGCUUUAGAUAUUUUAGAUGGUAUUUGUUUACUCACUGGGAUUAUAUAAUCUCACCACCCUCAUUUUCAGUCAUUUUAGGCUCAGAAUAGGCUGUAGAUAGCUGAUUUCAUCGAGGCUACCAUUGGAUUUGCAUCCUCCGAACUGUAGGUUCACAGUCUUUUUUACUUUUAGUUAUUCGGGAGCCCACUGGUUAUUGUAAAUUAAAUUAAAUACUCUGGCUUACUGUAGUACAGUAUGUAUGAAUUUAUUUUGCUUUUACGUUGCUACAAAAAAUUUAUUUAC
rnacentral:lncRNA from 1 species